AAUCAACGCUGGCGGCGUGCCUAACACAUGCAAGUCGAACGAGAAAGUGGAGCAAUCCACAAGUAAAGUGGCGCACGGGUGAGUAACACGUGACUAACCUACCCUUGAGUGGGGGAUAACCUAGGGAAACCUGGGCUAAUACCGCAUAAUACCUAUGGGUCAAAGGAGCAAUUCGCUUUUGGAGGGGGUCGCGGCAGAUUAGUUAGUUGGCAGGGUAAUGGCCUACCAAGACGAUGACUGUAUCCGGCCUGAGAGGGCGCACGGACACACUGGAACUGAAACACGGUCCAGACUCCUACGGGAGGCAGCAGUGGGGAAGUUUUGCGCAAUGGGGGAAACCCUGACGCAGCAACGCCGCGUGGAGGAUGAAGACCCUUGGGUCGUAAACU
rnacentral:rRNA from 1 species